UAGGGAAUCUUCCACAAUGGGCGCAAGCCUGAUGGAGCAACACCGCGUGAGUGAAGAAGGGUUUCGGCUCGUAAAGCUCUGUUGUUGGAGAAGAACGUGCGUGAGAGUAACUGUUCACGCAGUGACGGUAC
rnacentral:rRNA from 1 species